UACGUAGGGUGCAAGCGUUGUUCGGAUUUACUGGGCGUAAAGGGCGCGUAGGCGGCCCUCCUUGUCGCGUGUGAAAGCCCCGGGCUCAACCUGGGAAUUGCGCGCGAAACGGGGGGGCUUGAGUUCGGGAGAGGAGCGUGGAAUUCCCAGUGUAGAGGUGAAAUUCGUAGAUAUUGGGAAGAACACCGGUGGCGAAGGCGGCGCUCUGGACCGAGACUGACGCUGAGGCGCGAAAGCGUGGGGAGCAAACAGG
rnacentral:rRNA from 1 species